GUACGUACUGAAUUGAGUUUCAAUGAUGCCGCGACCAAAUAUCGUUAAUAUGUGCACUAUUGGAUUAUGUGAAUAACAACAAAUACAUUUACAUUGGCAGACAUAGCUAUCAUGAUAACGUCUAGUGAUUACAGAAUCCAAACUACUUCCGUUGGGAGUAGACCCACUGUUGCUGAAUGUCACACUGCUGUCACUGUCACUUAAUGUGAAUUUUGACGUCAUUGUUUUUUAUUUAUUUUUGUUCAUACAAAUAACAUAUCAAUACGAUUCUAAAAGAUUCGAUUAAUGAUCAUUUUUUAUGUUAAAUAUACAACUGAUUAUCACUGAGCUGAAACCUGUACUAUGGUCUCAAAUCCAUGAGAAAAGAGAAGAAAUGAUUGGAUAAUGUGUUACGUCGUCAAGAGUGGGAGCUUACUCAUUAGCUUUUAUUACGAUCAUUUGAACUAUAUGCUUUGGUGUACAGAAGAUUUUAAGAUUACUUUCAAUUCUCAUAGAAUUGUAUGAAUAUGCUCACAUUUAGUUACUAACAAAUUAAUGACCAAGCAUUAAAUUGAACAAAUCAUGAAGAAGUAAAAUUUAUCGUUUUUUUAAUUGAGAUAUUAAUUUAUAGAUGAAUAAAAAAAAUCGAAGUGUCAGAAUAUUAUUCGGUGAUAUUCAGAGUUUAGUCAACAAAAAUGUAAAAUAAUAAUUUUUCAGGAAAAAAACGUCAGAAAAUAUUUAAUGGGUUGUUAGAAAUAUUAAGUUAUAAUAAAACUUCGUAGUACUUCCAUCUUGAGUGAGACUACACGCAGAGAAAUGUAUAGUAAAAAUUACCCUGAAUUUUAUAGUAAUUUGGUGACACUGCAGGGUGAGAGUAAAAAUUACUGUGCAUAUUCUAAAAAUUACCAUACUGCAUACUAAUUUUUAGGGUAAAAUUAGGGUAAAAAUUACUAUGCAAUAUGGUAAUUUUUAGAAUGUGCACAGCAAUUUUUACAAUGUGUAUAGUAAUUUUUACCCUCACCCUGUAGUGUCACCAAAUUACUAUAAAAUUCAGGGUAAUUUUUACUAUACAUUUCUCUGCGUGUACGUUAAGUGUUUUGUAUUUAUCUUGAAAACUAUGAGAUGUAAUAAAAUAAAGUUUGAAUAAAAAAUAAAGGUCAUUAAAUUUUCCAUA